UACGUAGGAGGCGAGCGUUAUCCGGAUUUACUGGGCGUAAAGAGCGUGUAGGCGGUUUCGUAAGUUGGGCGUGAAAGCCCCCGGCUUAACUGGGGAGGGUCGUUCAAUACUGCGGGACUUGAGGGUGGAUGAGGAGACCAGAAUUCCCGGUGUAGUGGUGAAAUGCGUAGAUAUCGGGAGGAAUACCAGUGGCGAAGGCGGGUCUCUAGGCCACUCCUGACGCUGAGACGCGAAAGCGUGGGGAGCGAACGGA
rnacentral:rRNA from 1 species